rnacentral:rRNA from 1 species
UACGUAGGGACCAAGCGUUGUUCGGAUUUACUGGGCGUAAAGGGCGCGUAGGCGGCUUGACAAGUCACUUGUGAAAUCUCUGGGCUUAACCCAGAACGGCCAAGUGAAACUGUCGAGCUAGAGUGUAGAAGGGGCAAUCGGAAUUCUUGGUGUAGCGGUGAAAUGCGUAGAUAUCAAGAGGAACACCUGAGGUGAAGACGGGUUGCUGGGCCAACACUGACGCUGAUGCGCGAAAGCCAGGGGAGCAAACGGG